AUGAUCGUCGCCAUGAACACAGCCAUGGAGGCGUCCGUGGCCUUCCGCGACGUCCUCGCAGGCGAGCGGAUGCCCCGCGCCGCGUGCCUAUUCGUCGACUCCAGCCUCUUCGGCGCGCAGAAGGCGGCCGAGGAGCUCGGGCUGCCGACGAUAGCGCUCCGGACUGGCAGCGCAGCCUGCUUCAACUGCAUCCUUGCCUAUCCCAUGCUCCACCAAAACGGCUAUCUGCCCCCCGAAGAAUCGCAACUCGACAUGCCAGUGAAGGAGCUUCCCCCGCUGCGCGUGAGGGACCUCUUCCUCUCGAGCAGGGCCGACCAUGACAUGUUAUCCAAAUUUCUGGCCAAAGCAACCCAUGCAGCAAGGAGCUACUCCGCCCUUGUGCUCAACACAUUCGAAGCACUAGAAACAGACGAGCUUGAGAAGAUCGGCGACGAGAUAGGCAUCGCCAUGGUGCUCGCGACCGGCCCUCUCCACAGGCUCUCCUCCAAGACCGAGGGCACAGCAGGGAGAAGCUGCAAUGUGCUUCCGCACGAGGAUCACACCUGCAUCGAGUGGCUGGACACGCAGAUCACGGGGUCGGUAUUGUACGUCAGCGUUGGGAGCCUGGCGUGCAUGGACUCCGGUGAGCUCUCGGAGGUGGCGUGGGGGUUGGCCAACAGCGGCCAGCCGUUCCUAUGGGUCGUUCGGCAAGACCUCGUGCCGGGAUCGGACGGACCAUGUCUACCGAAAGGGUUCGACGAUAUGGUGAUGGGCAGGGGUAGGGUGACCCCGUGGGCCCCACAGCAGGAGGUGCUGGCCCACCGUGCGGUGGGCGGGUUUUGGACCCACAACGGGUGGAACUCGACGCUCGAGAGUGUAGCCGAGGGUUGCCCCAUGAUCUGUAGGCCUCAGUUCGCGGACCAGAUGAUGAACGCGAGAUACGUGGAUGCGGUGUGGGGCAUAGGCUUUGAGCUCGAAGGUGAGCUGGAGAGAAACAAAAUUGGGGAGGCCAUUCUGAAGCUUAUGAAGGGGAGCGAAGGGGAGGCGAUGAGAAAGAGAGCGGGAGAGCUUAAGAAGAAAGUAGCGUCCUGCUUUGAGAGUGGUGGGUCUUCUCUACUGGCCAUCAAUGAAUUGAUUGACCAUGUAUCAUCUUUAUAG
rnacentral:rRNA from 1 species